UGGGGAAUCUUGGACAAUGGGCGAAAGCCUGAUCCAGCCAUGCCGCGUGAGUGACGAAGGUCUUCGGAUUGUAAAGCUCUUUUGGCGGGGACGAUAAUGACGGUACCCGCAGAAUAAGCCCCGGCUAACUUCGUGCCAGCAGCCGCGGUAAUACAGAGGGUGCAAACGUUGCUCGGAAUUACUGGGCGUAAAGCGCGUGUAGGCGGUUCGUUAAGUCGUCUGUGAAAGCCCAUGGCUCAACCAUGGAAGUGCAGCCGAUACUGGCAAACUUGAGUUCUGGAGAGGGUGGCGGAAUUCCCAGUGUAGAGGUGAAAUUCGUAGAUAUUGGGAGGAACACCGGUGGCGAAGGCGGCCACCUGGACAGAUACUGACGCUGAGACGCGAAAGCGCGGGUAGCAAACAGGAUUAGAUACCCCGGUAGUCCCUGAGCGGGCUGGCAAGGCGCAU
rnacentral:rRNA from 1 species